UUUCUUCCUUUACUAUAGUUUCUUUAAAAAUUUCUUUCAGUGCGGUUGCGGUUAGAUUCGCUCGUUGUGAAAAUUAAUUAAAAAGUGUUUAAUACGUGUAAAUUCAUCGUAAAAUUAAUAAAUUAUUAAAUCUAAAAGUGUUCUUAACAAGUUUUUUACAUUUCCUUAUGAAUUUAUUCGGGAAAAUCGAGUGAAAAGUGUUUUGCAAUUUUUUUUUUUGGCAAACUGUUGCAUUUGUUGUCAAUGAACGCCAUUAGUGCUGCAAUAUGAAGCCGUUGUUGUUGUAAUGACUUUUUCGUUUGUUUUCUUUGUGGUUAAAUUCUUAAUAACGGUAUUGUUUAGUGGCGAAAUGUAUUUGAUAAGAAGUAGCGAUGAAAAUUAGGAACUUAAAUGAAUUGCAAGUAAACUUUAGUUUUGUAUGGAGAUAAAAAAGCUUUUAAUAAAGUUGUUAUUUGAUUAAGGUGAUUUAUAGGUAAAGGCCGUUAUUUUUGAAUGUAAUUAUGAAUGCAGUUUAGAUAAGAGCUGUCGAGGAAUUGGAUAACAUUAAAUAAUUUGUCUCAAUUUUGUAAAAAAAAUUCCCUCUCAGCAUGUCUUACUUUUACUUACAACUACAUAUUCGUUCUUCAAAAAGGUGAGUUGUUGUUAUUAGUACGUGCACCUUUAUUUAUUUAAAUGUCUGUUUAAUUUUACAACAAUUUACCCUUAUGAACAUACUUAUUACCACCCCUAUUAAAAAAAACAUCCUGUGUUAUAAACUAAAUGUUAAAUUUUAUCUUUGAAUGUUGUUAUUUUGACACAUUAAUAUAUCCCUGUUUUUGAUGAUCAGCAAAUAUUGUAGUUAAGCGCGCUUGUUUUAAGGUGUAGGUCAUUUAAAAGAGUGUAAACAUUUUUGAGUGUUAAGACUAGUACCUGAUUUUUCUGUAAUUUCCUUUUAGUUAAAGCUAUAUAGUGGAGUUUAACUAAUUAGAAAGUGUUAGAGAGAGGAUUUAUGUUUUUCGAAGAAAGAUUAGGUCUAGUUUGACGUUGGUUUUAUAAAAUUAGUUGAAUUUUUAGAACGAUGCGAAAUUUAAACCUUUGAUCCAUUUGAUUAUUCCAUAGCCGAGA